AGUGAAGCGGGAACAGCUCAAAUUUGAAAUCUGGCCCUUGGGUCCGAGUUGUAAUUUGCAGAGGAUGCUUUUGGUGCGGUGCCUUCCGAGUUCCCUGGAACGGGACGCCUUAGAGGGUGAGAGCCCCGUACGGUUGGCCACCAAGCCUGUGUAAAGCUCCUUCGACGAGUCGAGUAGUUUGGGAAUGCUGCUCAAAAUGGGAGGUAUAUUUCUUCUAAAGCUAAAUACUGGCCAGAGACCGAUAGCGCACAAGUAGAGUGAUCGAAAGAUGAAAAGCACUUUGAAAAGAGGGUUAAAUAGCACGUGAAAUUGUUGAAAGGGAAGGAUUUAUGACCAGACUUUUUCUAGGGGGAUCAUCCGGUGUUCUCACCGGUGCACUUCCCCUAGUUGAGGCCAGCAUCGGUUUCUGUCGGGGGAUAAAAGCUUCAGGAAUGUGGCUCCUUCGGGAGUGUUAUAGCCUGUUGCAUAAUACCCUGACGGGGACCGAGGUUCGCGCAUUGCAAGGAUGCUGGCGUAAUGGUUAUUAAUCACCCGUCUUGAAACACGGACCAAGGAGUCGAACAUUUGUGCGAGUGUUUGGGUGUUAAACCCUCACGCGUAAUGAAAGUGAACGGAGGUGAGAGCCCUUCGGGGUGCAUCAUCGACCGAUCCUGAUGUCUUCCGAUGGAUUUGAGUAAGAGCAUAACUG
rnacentral:rRNA from 1 species